UUUUCUUCUUCUCCUUCUGA
rnacentral:miRNA from 1 species